rnacentral:rRNA from 1 species
GAUGAACGCUAGCGAUAGGCUUAACACAUGCAAGUCGAGGGGUAACAUGAUUGAAGCUUGCUUCAAUUGAUGACGACCGGCGCACGGGUGAGUAACACGUAUGCAACCUACCUUUUACAGAGGGAUAGCCCAGAGAAAUUUGGAUUAAUACCUCAUAAUAUUUUUAACUCGCAUGAGUUUUAAAUUAAAACUUCGGUGGUAAAAGAUGGGCAUGCGUUCUAUUAGUUUGUUGGUGAGGUAACGGCUUACCAAGACUACGAUAGAUAGGGGUUCUGAGAGGAUAGUCCCCCACACUGGUACUGAGACACGGACCAG